rnacentral:lncRNA from 1 species
CUUGCUGUAAUGAUUAGUGGGCAAACGAAUACUACUUCAUGGAAGUGGAUUGCAAGGGUUUUGAAGAUAGAUCUUGUUACAUAAGGCAGUUGAUGGAGGCUGUAUGUCAGAGUUGAAAGCCCCUCCAGAUUCAGCUAUUGCCCUGAGGUUUGGAACCAUCCCAAAUGCUGACCCUCCACAACUCUGCCUCUGGAUCAGCACAGGAACAUGGCAUUGACACUUGGGCUGCCAGCCUGCUGUAAUACAGCAUUCUGAGCCUUUCUUCUGGCAGUCUUUGCUCUAAGCUCUUCAAGUAGCAGAGCCCAAAAUCCAAAGCAAGUUUCACAUAGGUACAGUUAAACAUUUAUAUCUGGUUUACAGUAAAGUUACAGAGGAGUUCCAAGUUGUUUCAGUGAAGACCCCUUUUUUUGUGUUUGUACUUUUUUGGUAAGGAAACUCCAAUAACUAGUAAACAGACAAUGGUUUCCAGUUCUCUUCACAGUCACUGGGGAGAUGAUUCACAUGAACUUGGAGAGAGUAUCACAUUGCAGUGGUAGGACACACUGGAUAUGUUUACGUUGUAGUUGUCAGACCAAGCAGGUUUUCAGCUAAUUUAUUGAUUGUAAGUUGUCCAAGCUCUUUGCAAAUGCAGUGAGUUUCCCAGACCUUGAGGCAGAGGGUCCAGCACAGCAGUGUUUUGCUACAGGAUAAAAGGAUUGACAACUCAGAAGCAGAGCAAGCAUUAACAAGGGGAGGACAGGAAUAAGCAGGAAACCACGGCAUGAAAGGCAGGAUUUCUGAGUGGCAGAACAGUGCCCCACACCUGCCCAGCACAGGCUGUUUCCUGCAUUGUCACAUGUGAGCCACUGCAGAGGCUCAAGGAACGUGUCUGCACAGCCCCUCCUUGCCUGUUCUUUGCAAACCAUGAGUCUCACAGGAAUGCAUUGUGCUGCUUCCUGCCCUGGUAAAUGUGUGCCAUUAAACUUCAGUACCCUCUGUUGGCAAGAAAUAGAUGAAUUUUCUGCAGGGAAACACUGCUUCUGAGGAGCCAUCUUGAGGAUUGAUACUUUACCUGGUGACCACCUCAAAAGAAACACUUGCCUUUGAUUUGUUGAGAUUCCAAAUGUGGGCCAAACAGAUGACUUCAGCUCCAGAGCAAAAAGAUGUCAAAUUCUUUUUUUGUAUAGUCUUUGCAAAGACUAAAAGCUGUCCAUGGGGGAAGAACUGAGGAUUU